UUUUUUUUUUUCUUUUAUUUUCUGUGUGGUUUUCAAGUAGGCUUUGACCUUCUGUUGGAGUAUUCUGGAAAGUUUCAACAACUGAAACGUAAACAUGGAUAUUAGGAGAUGAAAACCCAUGCUAGCAACUCCUCAAGCUUCCCAGCUGCUGCACCGCACCCCAGAUAGCAUGCUGCUUUGCCUUCUUUCUAGUUCCCGAGAAAGUUUAGCAGUCCUUGUGAUAAAGUCUGAGGAAGGAUGGGGCCCGGGGCUCUGUCUCCAUAGGAAAAAGCCCACUGUCACCGGAGGAAAAAGCCACAUAAGUCACGGAUGCAGAUGCCCUCGGGGACACAGCCAGGCUGCAGUCCUGCCAGGAAGCACGGCAGACAGCCAUCCAGCACCAACCCACAAGUCAGCAGCUCUCAGAGAUGGUUACUGAGUUUUACAGGCAUUGCUCCCUCCUGAAUGCAGCAUUGGAUUGUGAAAGACCACAACCACAUGGGGUUUGGACAUGGCAGGUCCCUCAGAACUGCUAAGAUCAGAGAUCUACUUAUUCCUACCCUCUGCUACCCUAGCAACAAAUGCUCUUAGAACGGUUAGCCACUGACUCUUCGCCCCUUAAGACACUUACUUAAGUUUCUGUCUUUUCCUUUUUUUCUGCCUCCUUUGACUGCUGAGAUUCACUAACAACAGGAUGUUCUAACAUCAUCUCCAUUGCCACACUUGGGAGAAUGAGCCCUAAAAGCAGGUGUAAGUGGGUGUGACUUGGUCUGUGGGUCAAGUGCGUGAAUCUGGACACCUGCAUUUUGUCCACCGAGUGACCUUUCCCUCACCUGUGUGGGGGGAUGAGGAUGGUUGCUGGGAGAAGUUAUUUUCAUAGCUCUACCUUACCUGGCUCUGACUGAAUCCCAGUCUAACACCAAUUUAGCAAGCUGUUUCCUCUGUUUUUGGAUGUUGGGGAUCUCCAGCUAGAAAACACAAACCACACAUGAAAUAGGAUGAGCUUUGGUUUUUAAACUUAACAUUUGAAAGGGUAUAAUUACUUUUUUUUUUUCCCUCUCAGGCAUAAGAUUUUGUACCCACCAUUUAUUCCCCUUCUUUCUAAAAAGAAGCAUAUGUCAAAGCCGCUGAUUACUGUUAAAACUGUAGACACAAGCAAACCAUUCAUCAUGCGUCCCCCACCAAUCGUGGCUCUCCUGUGUGGCCCGGUGAAAGAACUCACCUCUGCUAUGUUGCACAGAGGAUCCACAAUCUCUUUCUCAAUGAAGGAUUCAUGCUGAGUAAGUUCGAGAGCCAGCUGAUUCUCAGCAUCCCCACAUGUCUCCAGCAUCUUCCUUUAAAAACACAAGACACCCCCACAACAAGCGUAUGCUCAGUAAGUCAGGUAGGUCAGUACCGUAUCGGGCCAGUGCUGCUCACUACAGGAUGGGAACACAUUACGGUGCCACACAGUAGAACCUUAAAAACAUUAGAAGUUUGGGGUGUCACCCAAAAUGUGAGUCCACAGAUCUGUGCUUUAUUUUUACUUUUUAAAAGAUUUUAUUUAUUUAUUCAUGAGUGACACAGAGAGAGAAGCGGAGACACAGGCACAGGGGGAAGCGGGCUCCCCCUGGGGAGGACUCAAUCCCAGGACCCCAGUCUCACUCCAUGAGCCAAAGGCAGAUGCUCAACCACUGGGCCACCCAGGCAUACCCAGAUCUGUGCUUUAAAAUCAAAACGACUGUUCAUGGGCAUUAUCAAAUGUGUCUUAUGCAUCCGUUAAACUGAUAACUAUAUUGCUGGGUUAAUGUUUCAUCUGUUGCUAUAAAACAUUAAAUUUAUUAAAUCUUUAAAAAAUGAAUAAAUAAAAUGAAAAGGACUAUCGUGGGUAUACU
rnacentral:lncRNA from 1 species